AACCCAUGCUAAAGACAUUUCUGUAGGAGCUCCUUGAACCUAUCCCAUGUCUCACAACGAUACUUCAAUUCCAAUUGCACAAAGGAGGAAAUUCCACUCCUGAGCUU